CACACAUUCUGCCUAGUGUACUAGCAGAGUGGUAUCUGGCCACAGCUGUCGACGGGGAGCCACUGGAGGGCCAGAUUCUAUGUGCUAAGGUCUCAACAUUAUUCCCUGUCCUGCUGGGCCAUCAAGCUGUCCUGGUGAAGAGCCCUGAUUUCUCUAAACCCUUCCUUUGGAUAACUUGACCUCUGGACCUCAGUCUAGACUGACUUCUCUCCAGUUUCCCUAAUGCACCAGACAAGGAAGAGGAGCCAUGCUUACUGAAACUUCCAUUCUCGCCCAACAAGGGGUGGCCUUGGUUUUAGGUGAGUGAUCUGCCCUCUGGGAACACUCUCCCAGACUCUGCCAGGAAGGAUGGGAAGAGUAAGGUAGGAAUGAACGGCUAUGGGGUCCCCUGGAGGCCACCAGCACAUUGGUUCAUGCAUAAAACAGGAGGACCUUUCUCCUCUGGAGCUAAUCUAAACCUCUGAGCCCAGAGAUUGCAAAAGAUGGGCCCCAGUUAAGUCAUUUCCCUUGCAAAUGCAGCCACAGCUCCAAGGAUUUUUUUUUUUUUUAUUUCCUCUUUAGUACCUCAUCAACACAGCAGUCAACCCAGGAGCCCAGCUGCCGCUUGGCCAGCUAUUUGCACUUUUCAGUUAACUCCGGGAGUCCCCUGUAAAGAGCGAGGCCAGGCCGAUGGUGGCACCUAUAAUCCCUAAUUGCCCUGCCCUCACUGAGGCUGAGGGGACUGGGUUUCCCCUGGCUUGAGAUAAUUGCUAGAUGAUUAGGGCCAGUGCUCCCAAGUCCAGACCAGCUGGAGAGCCCCGCCUGCCCCUUGGAAGCCCUAGCAUUGCGUCAUUAAGCCAGAAGACCCCGGGGCACCCUGGUGAAGGCGGAACAGCUUCCAGAUCUCAGCUCUUUGGAGGCCCAGAGGUGUGGGGAAA